rnacentral:rRNA from 1 species
AUGAACGCUGGCGGCGUGCCUAAUCCAUGCAAGUCGAGCGAACAGACGAGGAGCUUGCUCCUCUGACGUUAGCGGCGGACGGGUGAGUAACACGUGGAUAUCCUACCUAUAAGACUGGGAUAACUUCGGGAAACCGGAGCUAAUACCGGAUAAUAUAUUGAACCGCAUGGUUCAAUAGUGAAAGACGGUUUUGCUGUCACUUAUAGAUGGAUCCGCGCCGCAUUAGCUAGUUGGUAAGGUAACGGCUUACCAAGGCGACGAUGCGUAGCCGACCUGAGAGGGUGAUCGGCCACCCUGGAACUGAGACACGGUCCAGACUCCUACGGGAGGCAGCAGUAGGGAAUCUUCCGCAAUGGGCGAAAGCCUGACGGAGCAACGCCGCGUGAGUGAUGAAGGUCUUCGGAUCGUAAAACUCUGUUAUUAGGGAAGAACAAAUGUGUAAGUAACUAUGCACGUCUUGACGGUACCUAAUCAGAAAGCCACGGCUAACUACGUG